rnacentral:tRNA from 1 species
GCCCGGGUGGCUCAGUCGGUUAGGCGUCUGACUUCGGCUCAGGUCAUGAUCUCCCAGUUCAUGGGUUCAAGCCCCACAUCGGGCU